CCUACGGGGGGCAGCAGUGAGGAAUAUUGGUCAAUGGGCGGGAGCCUGAACCAGCCAAGCCGCGUGAAGGAAGAAGGCGCCAAGCGUCGUAAACUUCUUUUGUCGGGGAACAAAGGGCGCCACGUGUGGCGUUGUGAGUGUACCCGAAGAAAAAGCAUCGGCUAACUCCGUGCCAGCAGCCGCGGUAAUACGGAGGAUGCGAGCGUUAUCCGGAUUUAUUGGGUUUAAAGGGUGCGCAGGCGGGCUGUUAAGCCGGCGGUAAAAAUUCAGGGCUCAACCCUGUCGAGCCGUCGGAACUGGCAGUC
rnacentral:rRNA from 1 species